rnacentral:rRNA from 1 species
UACGUAGGGAGCGAGCGUUGUCCGGAAUCAUUGGGCGUAAAGCGCGCGCAGGCGGCCUUUUAAGUCUGACGUGAAAGCCCCCGGCUUAACCGGGGAGGGUCAUUGGAAACUGGGAGGCUUGAGUGCAGAAGAGGAAAGUGGAAUUCCAAGUGUAGCGGUGAAAUGCGUAGAGAUUUGGAGGAACACCAGUAGCGAAGGCGACUUUCUGGUCUGUUACUGACGCUGAGGCGCGAAAGCGUGGGGAGCGAACAGG